UGAAGAGCUUGCUCAGAUAUGACGAUGGACAUUGCAAAGAGUGGCGAACGGGUGAGUAACACGUGGGAAACCUACCUCUUAGCAGGGGAUAACAUUUGGAAACAGAUGCUAAUACCGUAUAACAAUAGCAACCGCAUGGUUGCUACUUAAAAGAUGGUUCUGCUAUCACUAAGAGAUGGUCCCGCGGUGCAUUAGUUAGUUGGUGAGGUAAUGGCUCACCAAGACGAUGAUGCAUAGCCGAGUUGAGAGACUGAUCGGCCACAAUGGGACUGAGACACGGCCCAUACUCCUACGGGAGGCAGCAGUAGGGAAUCUUCCACAAUGGGCGAAAGCCUGAUGGAGCAACGCCGCGUGUGUGAUGAAGGGUUUCGGCUCGUAAAACACUGUUGUAAGAGAAGAAUGACAUUGAGAGUAACUGUUCAAUGUGUGACGGUAUCUUACCAGAAAGGAACGGCUAAAUACGUGCCAGCAGCCGCGGUAAUACGUAUGUUCCAAGCGUUAUCCGGAUUUA
rnacentral:rRNA from 1 species